rnacentral:rRNA from 1 species
GACGAACGCUGGCGGCGUGCUUAACACAUGCAAGUCGAACGAAGAGCGCUGGAAGCUUGCUUCUAUCAAUCUUAGUGGUGAACGGGUGAGUAACGCGUAAUCAACCUGCCCUUCAGAGGGGGACAACAGUUGGAAACGACUGCUAAUACCGCAUACGAUCUAAUCUCGGCAUCGAGGAUAGAUGAAAGGUGGCCUCUACAUGUAAGCUAUCACUGCAGGAGGGGAUUGCGUCGGUUUAGCUAGUUGGCGGGGUAACGGCCCACCAAGGCGAUGAUGAGUAGCCGGUCGGAGAGGAUGAGCGGCCACAUUGGGACGGAGACACGGCACAGACGCCUACGGGAGGCAGCAGUGGUGAAACUUCCGCAAGGGACGAGAGUCUGACGGAGCAACGCCGCGGGAGUGAUGACGGCCGUCGGGUGGUAAAGCUCGGUUAAUCGGGACGAAAGGCCUUCUUGCGAAUAGGGAGAAGGAUUGACGGUACCGGAAAAGAAAGCCACGGCUAACUACGUG